rnacentral:rRNA from 1 species
AUUGAACGCUGGCGGCAGGCCUAACACAUGCAAGUCGAACGGCAGCACAGAAGAGCUUGCUCUUUGGGUGGCGAGUGGCGGACGGGUGAGUAAUGUCUGGGAAACUGCCCGAUGGAGGGGGAUAACUACUGGAAACGGUAGCUAAUACCGCAUAACGUCGCGAGACCAAAGUGGGGGACCUUCGGGCCUCACACCAUCGGAUGUGCCCGGAUGGGAUUAGCUAGUAGGUGGGGUAAUGGCUCACCUAGGCGACGAUCCCUAGCUGGUCUGAUAGGAUGACCAGCCACACUGGAACUGAGACACGUGCCAGACUCCUACGGGAGGCAGCAAUGGGAAAUAUUGCACAAUGGGCGCAAGCCUGAUGCAGCCAUGCCGCGUGUAUGAAGAAGGCCUUCGGGUUGUAAAGUACUUUCAGCGGGGAGGAAGGCGGUGAGGUUAAUAACCUCGCCGAUUGACGUUACCCGCAGAAGAAGCACCGGCUAACUCCGUGCCAGCCGCCGCUGUAA